AGCGAACGCUGGCGGCAGGCCUAACACAUGCAAGUCGAACGAAGUCUUCGGACUUAGUGGCGGACGGGUGAGUAACACGUGGGAACGUGCCUUUAGGUUCGGAAUAACUCAGGGAAACUUGUGCUAAUACCGAAUGUGCCCUUCGGGGGAAAGAUUUAUCGCCUUUAGAGCGGCCCGCGUCUGAUUAGCUAGUUGGUGAGGUAAAGGCUCACCAAGGCUACGAUCAGUAGCUGGUCUAAGAGGAUGACCAGCCACAUUGGGACUGAGACACGGCCCAAACUCCUACGGGAGGCAGCAGUGGGGAAUCUUGCGCAAUGGGCGAAAGCCUGACGCAGCCAUGCCGCGUGGAUGAUGAAGGUCUUAGGAUUGUAAAAUCCUUUCACCGGUGAAGAUAAUGACUGUAGCCGGAGAAGAAGCCCCGGCUAACUUCGUGCCAGCCGCCGCUGUAAAAC
rnacentral:rRNA from 1 species